UGGGGAAUUUUGGACAAUGGGCGCAAGCCUGAUCCAGCAAUGCCGCGUGCAGGAUGAAGGCCUUCGGGUUGUAAACUGCUUCUGUACGGAACGAAAAGGCUCUGGUUAAUACCUGGGGCUCAUGACGGUACCGUAAGAAUAAGCACCGGCUAACUACGUGCCAGCAGCCGCGGUAAUACGUAGGGUGCAAGCGUUAAUCGGAAUUACUGGGCGUAAAGCGUGCGCAGGCGGUUAUGCAAGACAGAGGUGAAAUCCCCGGGCUCAACCUGGGAACUGCCUUUGUGACUGCAUAGCUAGAGUACGGUAGAGGGGGAUGGAAUUCCGCGUGUAGCAGUGAAAUGCGUAGAUAUGCGGAGGAACACCGAUGGCGAAGGCAAUCCCCUGGGCCUGUACUGACGCUCAUGCACGAAAGCGUGGGGAGCAAACA
rnacentral:rRNA from 1 species